AGAACGAACGCUGGCGGCAGGCUUAACACAUGCAAGUCGAACGAGAAGCUACCUUCGGGUAGUGGAAAGUGGCAGACGGGUGAGUAACGCGUGGGAAUCUACCUAGUGGUACGGAAUAACUCAGGGAAACUUGGGCUAAUACCGUAUGUGCCCGUAAGGGGAAAGAUUUAUCGCCAUUAGAUGAGCCCGCGUCUGAUUAGCUAGUUGGUGGGGUAAAGGCCUACCAAGGCGACGAUCAGUAGCUGGUCUGAGAGGAUGAUCAGCCACACUGGGACUGAGACACGGCCCAGACUCCUACGGGAGGCAGCAGUGGGGAAUAUUGGACAAUGGGCGCAAGCCUGAUCCAGCCAUGCCGCGUGAGUGGUGAAGGCCUUAGGGUUGUAAAGCUCUUUUACCCGGGAUGAUAAUGACAGUACCGGGAGAAUAAGCUCCGGCUAACUCCGUGCCAGCAGCCGC
rnacentral:rRNA from 1 species